AACGAACGCUGGCGGCAGGCUUAACACAUGCAAGUCGAACGCCCCGCAAGGGGAGUGGCAGACGGGUGAGUGCCGCGUGGGAACAUACCCUUUUCUACGGAAUAGCUCUGGGAAACUGGAAUUAAUACCGUAUACGCCCUACGGGGGAAAGAUUUAUCGGGGAAGGAUUGGCCCGCGUUGGAUUAGCUAGUUGGUGCGGUAAAGGCCUACCAAGGCGACGAUCCAUAGCUGGUCUGAGAGGAUGAUCAGCCACAUUGGGGCUGAGACACGGCCCAAACACCUACGGGAGGCAGCAGUGGGGAAUAUGGGACAAUGGGCGCAAGCCUGAUCCAGCCAUGCCGCGUGAGUGAUGAAGGCCUUAGGGUUGUAAAGCUCUUUCACCGAUGAAGAUAAUGACGGUAGUCGGAGAAGAAGCCCCGGCUAACUUCGUGCCAGCAGCCGCGGUAAUAC
rnacentral:rRNA from 1 species